CGGGUAAAACUCCUGCUUGUUACCGUUUCAUCUGGCCGGAGCCGGAUGUCAUUUUUGGUGUCUGAUUCGGUAAGGAACCGGGAGCACCAUCUGCGUAGGGUUGAAGAUCGCUCUUCAGGUUUGAGACCUAAGCCCCCUACGGUCUUGGAUAGCCCCCGCCAGGCAGGGACCCCAAUUUUUCGUUGCGAACGCACCAGGUGCGCUC
rnacentral:sRNA from 1 species